CCCUUUAAUGUCUCUAUUAUAUAUAUAUAGACAAUUUUCUUCAUCAAACAAACUAGAAUAAUCCUUACAAAUUAUCAAACACAAUCUUUCUGUAUGACAAUGAUUUAAGUUCCCACUAUAAAUAUUUGAGUUCACUUUCAAAUUGAAAAUGACUGUGCUAUACUGCAUCCUGCACAGUCGAUAUUUACUGCCUCUUACACAGCCCAACUUUACUACCUCCUAAACUGCCAAACAGAAAUCCAUCAGUAAGCAUGGUAAGAGUUGAAGCAAGGGUUCUUGUGCAGCCUGGCAUACUCCUAUGCACAUUUAUCAAUUAAAGUCACCGAUGCAUAUUCAUACAUCUAACACAGCCGAAUGAGGCCUCCAUUAGCAAGAUUGGGUAUUACUAAGUCGUUUAUUCAAAUUAGAUGUACUUAUUGUAUAUCCUAAAGAAUUACCUAAUUUUGUACUAUGUUUAUACAUUUGUUUGUUUAAUACAAUCACAUGUUGUUUUGUUUGUUCAAAUCUUAAAAAAUUAACCAUAUUCAGCACAAUGUUUCCUUGACAAAAAUUAAGCACAAAUUAAGAAAACAAAGUAAGAACAUGGCUUUAAAACUAUGAAUAAUUAGAAAUUUUAGAUAACUAUGGUUGAACUAUGAAGUUGUUAAAUGCAGAAGUUUCUCAGGACCUGUUUUGUUCAGCAAUUACCUCCUUAAUCUAUAUGUAUCUAUUUUUGUAAACAUAAGCAUAUCUUUUAUUUUUGCCAUGUGCUGAUACGAUUUUUUUCAUCAUUAUGGAGGAAGAUGGACUGGAAAAUAAAUCAAGUUUUCAACAUAAAAAUGCUGAUAGAACUAUUUAAGGUUUAUGGUUUAAGUAAAAACAUUAACUCCUGUUCGAAGAUGACCCAAACCCUGAAUAAUUCAAACAGUUUUGUAUGGUCUUUUGGACCUUGUUAUCAGAGUAUUCACUGUUAUCACUAUGAGCCUCUGGUUGCAACUCCCUCAGACAAAGUUGACUGUAGACAGUUUUAGCUGUUCUGUUUUAACUCUUUUGUUUUUAUGGUGUCAAAUGUUUUAUAUAUAAUUUGGAUUUUCAAACUUUUAGUCUAUAUCAUACAUUGUGAAGGUUGUUUUGAUAACACAUUUUGUGGAAAUUUUUUCAUACUUUUUUGCUUUUUGUAAAAUCAAGCAUACUCUAACUGUUUUAUAUUUAUAGGUUUUUUGUUAUUGAUAAGAGGUUGUUAACCAUGUUAACAAUAACAUACAGAUUGCAUUGCAAAUUUGUUUUAUAAAGUUGUCUGGACUUUCUCUUCUAAAUUGUCACCCAAAGCCUUAAAUAACUCACUACAUGGUAUGAUUUUUUUGCUCAUUGUUGAAGACUGUAUAGUGACCUACAGUUGUUUACAUUCUUGUCCUUAGAUAGUUGUAUCUUUUGCAAUCAUACUACAUUUCUUAGUUUUUAUAUAUACUUAAGUACGUAAUGCUUAUACUAACUGCUUGUUUGCACUAUUAAAGGUGAUGACUUGACUCUCCUACAGCAGAUUGAUAACAUUUUUGAAAAGUUGUACAGUUUGAUUUUUUAAAACAAAUGGAAUUUGUGACUGAAUUUUUAAUGAAUUGCAAUAGGUGGAAUGCAACACUUACAGUCAAGUCACAGUAAAACAAAAUGUGUGAUGGUUUUUACUUUGUAAAUAAGUAGUAUUUUUGUCUUGUCUCAUAAAGAUACUAUAAGCAGUAGAUCAACUAUAUUUGGUGUAUGAAAUGACUGUAAGGUGAACAUGUCCAACUGACAGGUUUGAUCUGAUUGUGAAUUAUUUCAUGGUUCAUUGGUCAAUAUUAUGUUUUAAAGUUUAAGUAUGUUACUCAUAUACUAUAAGCAAAAGGUUAACUUAUUUGGUGUAUGAAAUGAUUGCAAGGUGUAUAGUACAAGUCUGUCUCGCAGAGUUCACCUAACCAUGACCUUAUUUUCAUAGUUCAAUGGUCAGUAUUAAAUUUAAAGUUAGGUUUGUUUCGCAGGUACUAUAGGCAAUAGGUCAACUAUAUUUGGUGUAUGGAAGAAUAGUAUGGUGUACAAUAGUAUGGUGAACAUGUCUGUAUGACAUGUUUGUCUGACCUUAACCUCAUUUUCAAGAUUCAAAAAUUAGAGUUAUGUUUUCAUUGUUGUCUGUUUUGUCAGAAACUUUAAGCUAAAAGGUUACCUAUAUUUGGUGUAUGGAAUGAUUGCAAGAUGUACACUGUCUGGCAGAGUAAAUCUGACCUCAUUAAAAUGGUAAAUUUGAAUGUUAAUUUUAUGUAAUACUUGUUGUAAAGCCUUUUUCUCUAAGACUUUCAACAUGAAUUCAAUCAUGAUCAGUAAAGCAGGAGACAUUUCAGUGUGUGCACUUUUGAGUUUAAAACUGCUUGUCUUUUUACAUAAGUAUUUUUCUUACUCAUACUACUACAAUCAAAUACCCUUUUUUUUAAGUCUGUUGUUAUUGACGCAGACAAUGAUUGUCAAGUUUAUGUUUUUUUUUCAUUGUUUUUAGGUUAAUGUUUGUUUAUUUGUUAUAAGGGUGGUCACUUUGUUUUAUUGCAUAUUACCUUUUAUUUGCAUUAUAUACCAAUGCAAUCUGAUUAUGUGUUGAUUUUAAGGUGUAAUUAUUAUUUAUAUUACAUAUUGUGUUGUGUUUUACUUACAUGUA